AUACCGGCUGCUCGAGUGAUGGCCACUAUUACUGGGUUUAAAGCGUCCGUAGCUUGACUGUUAGGUCUCUUGGGAAAUCUUUUGGCUUAACCAAAAGGCGUCUAAGAGAUACCGGCAUUCUUUGAACUGGGAGAGGUAAGCCGUACUUCGGGGGUAGGCGUGAAAUCUUGUAAUCCUCGGGGGACGACCUAUGGCGAAGGCAGCUUACCAGAACAGCUUCGACAGUGAGGGACGAAAGCUGGGGGAGCAAACGGGAUUAGAUACCCCGGUAGUCCCAGCCGUAAACAAUGUGCGUUAGGUGUGUCGGUUACCACGCGUAACUGAUGCGCCGAAGAGAAAUCGUGAAACGCACCACCUGGGAAGAACGGUCGCAAGGCUGAAACUUAAAGGAAUUGACGGGG
rnacentral:rRNA from 1 species